rnacentral:rRNA from 1 species
UACGUAGGGAGCAAGCGUUGUUCGGAUUCAUUGGGCGUAAAGGGUGCGUAGGUGGUAACGCAAGUCUGGUGUGAAAUCUCGGAGCUUAACUCCGAAAUUGCACCGGAUACUGCGUAACUCGAGGACUGUAGAGGAGAUCGGAAUUCACGGUGUAGCAGUGAAAUGCGUAGAUAUCGUGAGGAAGACCAGUUGCGAAGGCGGAUCUCUGGGCAGUUCCUGACACUGAGGCACGAAGGCCAGGGGAGCAAACGGG